rnacentral:misc_RNA from 1 species
GCAUCGAACGGUUGGCAUGCAACUCCGUUUCAAGGACACCCCGCUCUUAGACGCGGUGGUGCGUGGCCCCGGUUCCCGUGUUGCCUACCUCUUGAAUGGUAUUCGUGUGGCUUGUUGGAUUCGUCCACCCAGUGCCCCCYCGAGGGGCCCUGGGGGACUUCGAAGUGAUACACAUGCUCCGCCUUCGCUGCCACUCAUUUAUCGAAGCAAGCAAUUGCGGUGCAUAUGUAUCUGCUGCUCUCUCGGACGCGGUGCAUGAGAUGAAACAUGGGAAAUUUUCCCAUUCAGUCCCCCGAAUCUUAGUUGCCUCGAAUGACACUUGCCCUCGUGCUUGCUUGCUCUCCACUCGUGGUUGGCAUGCAAGCAUCGAUGUGCAAAGUUGUUAAUGGAUG